GUCUGGGUAAUAUCAUCCAAUAGUAAAGCAUGGUGGUGGGAGCAUCAUGCCAUGGGGUAUCAAAAUGUGGAGAAAGAGAAGGGGUCUGAAUAGUUUCCAAAGGCAUUCUUAUGUACUUUGGCAGAGGGCUGCUAAAUGACUUACAUUUUUAUAUUUUACAUUUAAUGUAAAAUGCCUCACUCUCUUUCUUCCACUGACUCACAAACAGUUGCCGAAAGAAAUCCGAAGAGUAACAAUCUCCGCCAAUGCCGAAACGUAGAAAACACAACUGAAAAGUGUCUCAGUGGAAAAGAAGAUGGAGGAAAAGAACAGGUUCUAAAGAACGCGACUGAUGGAGGAAGUAAGGAAGACAAAAGAAUGAUGGAGGUCGUUCCGGGAUGAGAAGUAAAAAAAAAGGCCUUAAGGGAGGGCCGUCCAAAUCGAAGUAUCAGCACCACCAAUACCAGGACACAGAAGAUGGAAACCACCACCUUGUAACCCACCAGCUCAGGAUCUGGGACCACUGGAGAAAGGACAAUGAGACAGUUGACAUAAAUAAACAACCAUACACAUCCACAAGUCCCAAAUGUCCAAAUAACAUCAUUUCAAUGCUAAUGCAACAUGACAUCAGGCACCAACAUGUUAACCCAUUAACAUGUGAUUAGUGACUGAAAGUAAAUAUAAAUGCAUUUGAAUAGUACACUAUAUUAGACCUAACUCUGCCAUCUUUAUUGAUUUACAGGAGUAUUUAUUAUAUGUCACGGAAAUGUGAAAAAUGACGGGUUUCAGAAUUGCCAAAAAUAUUGUUCAGAUAGUCAGCACUUAAAUGCAAAAAUGCUCUGAAAAUGUCAAAAAACCCAAAACAACAUGUAUUAACUUCAUUGAAGUUAAUAUACAAAAUUAUAUUGACCAUGUAACUUAAAGAAAAUAUCUAUGUUUGAAUGUUGGAACUUCAUUCAGUAACAGAAUCCAUUGUCUCAUGCUACAAAGCAAAUUAUGUGUGGUGCAUUUGGGCAUUUAUAUUUUAAAAGCAGACAGUUUCUCAAAACUACAUUUUGACACUGACACACUGAACCCAAUAACCACUUACGAGACACUUUCUCUUUUAUGCAACUUGACGUUUCCUGACUGUGAAAUUAACCUUUGAGCCAAGAGAAAAUGUAAUAAACAAUUUUAUUUUUUUAAAUAGCCAUGGCAUACUUCAGCUAAAUGCAGCCACAGCUAGCUAAAAAUCAACAGAAGCGAUAUUUACUCCAAGUGGUCAAUAAAGAUGGGAAAGAUAAGUCCAACAAUUUUGUGUUAAUACAAAUAAAUCUUUUGAAUUCUAUUUAUAUUUUCUAACACCAAAAUGGACCAAUCACAUGAUGGACUCAAAUACAUACCAGUACACUGGAAGGCAAUGAUGUCCAUGGGUUGCUCGGUCGCCUCUCCAGAAUCUCUGUUGGGACGUUUGGAGAUUUUUAUCUCUUUCCACUGCAGAUUGCCUCCACAACCCUUUCGCUUACACAAUCCCGACCAUCCAAGACGUUUUACGCUUUCAGAAAUGCCGUUUGGCAAAGGUGUUGAUGAGUUCAUGUUAAAAUAAGUCAUCUGUAGGUUCCCCUCGCAGGCUCCAUUCCAAUUUGCUUUAAGAACCCCCAGUCUGAGUGGGGGAGGCUGAGGCUGAGGCUGGGUUGGAGGGGUCGAGGCAGUAGUGAUGGGGCAUUUACAUGGGGUGGAGGGAAUCGUUACAUUGGCCUGAGUGCUGUUAGAUGAUCCAGGGGUCUGGGAGAUCUUGGUACCAUUGUUCCCUUCCACAGAGUCUAGAUAAAAGAAAGGCACAAUAAAGAAAGGUUCGGGAUUCAUUUGACAUAAAUGGCAGCAAAGAAAUCUAGCCAAUAAUGUCGAGGAGUCUGUUACAACUGAAAUCAUUCUAAUUAUUCAGAAUUUUUAAGUGUAUAAUAAUAAUAAUAUCAGAUAUCACAAGGUAUUAGUUAAUUAUAAAGGCAGUAUUUCAAAUGACUAAUGAGGGACCAGGAAUCGUAUGCUCUAUUUCAGGAAACCUCCUCUGUUUGACCCCCUGCAGUGGAGACAGACGUGGACUGGACUAAACUCUCCCAUAUCCAUCAAUGAACCCCACAAAUGAAGCUAACAGAAACACUGACCUCCUGAGGGAUGAGGUUAUGAGGGCCAUUUUCAGGUCAAUGGAUGUUCAAAAGGUUUUUCACAGCCAGGGUUGACGUCAAUUGCAUUUCAAUUCCAGUAAAUUCCAAAUUCUAGUUCCACUUCUUUUUAGUACUUUUUAAUUAGAAGAAAAUACAGGGAUUGAAAAGGAAUUGACCCCCAACGUUCCCAGCUACUACCAUAACUGUAACUCAUCAACUAAUAUUGUAUUAUCCCUAAAAUGUCUAGAAAUACCAAGAACCAUUUAAAAAUAUUUCCUAAAUGUCUCCAUGUCCCCUAAGUAGCCUGCCACCAGUAAAUUAGUUUGGGAUUUAGGCACUGAUGCAUUUGCUUACUUCCCUGAGGUCUGAUGAUCAGGUGCAUUACAUUUUUACUUCUCAGUGCAGUUUAAAUUAAGUUUGUAUUACAAGUCAGAGCAAAUUACUAGAAGUCUACAGGAACAGCUAGCUAGCUGUUCCCAAAUACUUUCAGUCAUUGUGUUGAUUCUAUUUAAAGAGAUGGCUAGCAAAAUGUCUUUAUAUUAGACACAGAUACAUACAAAUUGAAUCAAUAAGUCCAUCUGACACUGGAAAGUAGAUGAACAGUCUAACUGAUCGAAUCCCUUUAACUAGGGCCUAUAGAGGAGACAUUUCGGACACAGCCAAUGACUACAACUCCACUGCUACAAGUUCAGCUCUCAGUACGGACAACCUACUGUGUAUUGUGAUGUAUUCACAAUAACAUGAGACCAUAUUUAAAUAAAGACAUUGGACUUACCGAUGUUUAUUAUACACAGGGCCAGGAUGAUCAGCAUAAGCCUUCCAUCCAUUUUGGAAAUUGACUGAUUUUGAGAAAGACAGCGGGGAGAAGACAGACAGUGUGUGCAGAAGCUACCGGGAGACUGAUGAUAGAGGAAACAGUGCAGAGGUGUAAACCUAGUUUGUCUCCUUUCUCUUCUCCUCCCCCAGCUUGUUCUAUCCCUACAUCACAUCACUCCAGCUUCAGGUUUUUGCUUUCUUUCUGCAAAGGUUUCUGCAAACUUCCUCCCUUCAAAGGCGUGAACUGUAAAAUAAGAAGAAGAAAAAAAGAAAAGAAAAAAAUAUUGAUGGCGUGGAGAAUAGGUGGGAGGGAGAGGCAGAA
ensembl:lncRNA